AACACUCUAGAAUCAACAGAAGUGAAAACACAGACUUGAGAGGAGACAGAUUCAGGGAGGAGCUGAGCUGUGACUGAAUGUAGAAGAGAGACAAACGUCUCCAUUCAACAGUUCAGUAGAGACCGAAUCAUUACAUUUAUUAAACAUGACAUCGUUGAAGUUCAUCCAGCUCCUGUUUUCAUUAACUCUUAUUAAAGGUGUCAGAUGUGGAGAUCUCACUCCUGUCAGAGCAGAAGAUUUCAGUGUAGAAAGCAGCAACGUCACUCUGUCCUACACAUACUCCACUAAAGCUACUGCUAGCGACUAUUUCUUCUGGUACCGACAGUAUCCAGGAAAACCACCAGAGUUCCUCAUGUCUCAUUUAGGAACAGGAAAAAUAUUAAAUAAUCCAUUAACUGGACUGACUGUUACAAUGAAUGAGAACAAAACAAAGAUGGAUCUGCAGAUCUCCUCUGCUGCAGUGUCUGACUCUGCUGUGUACUACUGUGCUGUGACGCCCACAGUGACAGGAAACACCUCAACUCUGUACAAAAACCUCUGGAGCAAAGACAACACAAUGCUCCACAGCAUCCACCAGAGGGAGACACUGUGAUAAACUUCAGGAGUUUCAGACCAGAAAUGCCAAAACAAUUAAAACAAGACUCAUUGAACUGCAUAUUUAUCUUCUCUACUGAUUCUUCUACAGCUCAGUGAAUCAACUAGUACAAAUUAUUUACUGUCCAUUAAUAUGAAGAACUUUGAAUCAUCCAUCCAUCUUCCAUUCCGCUUAAUCCCACACGCGGGGUCGCAGGGGUGCUGGAGCAGUACAGCAUCUCAGCUGGCUAUGGGUGCACCCAGGACAGGUCACCAGCCCAUGGCAGGGCACUUUAGAUCAUUUUUAUUGAUUUAAUUAAACAACAACUUUUUGUUGCUUGUGUCAAUCAUACCACAAACUCAUCACAUAACUGACACAAAGUCUGCAACCACUGAACCUCAGCUACAGACCAGCAAGAGCUGAUUACCUGACUCCGCCCACUGAAGUCCAGCUCAACCAAUGAGCUUCUCUGUGUCUCCAGAGCAGAAAUGUUGGAGGAAGUCAAAGCACAAUCCUCCUGAUGCUGAGGAGAAGGGCUGUGCAGCAGAGAGGCUGUUGACUUGUUUCCUUCUACUGCAGUGGAAGAACAUUGUUCAUCUACUGUCUGUUUGGCUCCAACUGCUCCAACGACAUGUUGCUUUACCUCUGUCUCUGUUUGUCUCACUU